rnacentral:lncRNA from 1 species
ACGGGACGGAUGGACACGGGACAGACAGACGCAGGACAGUCAGACACAGAAUACGGGAUGGACACAGGACAGACAGACACAGGACAGUCGGACACAGAACAUGGGAUGGACACGGGACAGACGGACGCAGGACAGUCAGACGCAGAAUACGGGAUGGCCAAAACCCGGGAUUUUGGGGCACAGAACCACAACAUUUUGGGGCCAAACCCCAGGAUUUUGGUACAGCAGAGUAGGACACGGAGUUUUGGGUUGAAAACAUGGGAUUUUGGGGCACAGAACCACAACAUUUUGGGCCGAAACCCCGGGAUUUUUGGUCCGAACCUCAGAACUUUGCGACACACGAUGGAGACCUGGAGUUUUGGGUCCAAACCCCGGGAUUUCAGAACCGAACCACCCAACAUUUUGGGUCAAAACACCGGGAUUUGGGGUCUGAACCUCACAACUUUGCGACACGCGAUGGAGCGGCAGAGUUUUGGGGCCAAACUCUGCGAUUUCGGAGCCGAACCACCCAACAUUUUGGGUCAAAACACCGGGAUUUUGGGUCCGAACCUCAGAACUUUGUGACAUGCGAUGCAGACGCAGAGUUUUGGGUCGAAACCCUGGGAUUUUGGGGCACAGAACUGCAACUUUUGGGGUCCAAAUGUCGGGAUUUUGGGUCCAAACCUCAGAACUCUGUGACACGCGAUGGAGACGCAGAGUUUCGGAUCCAAACCCCG